ACGCAUCAGGCUAGCUUGUUUCCCACCUUGUUGUACGUCUUGCAUUAUUAUUUGCGGUGUUUUUUUUUGCCUUUUACAAGUUUAAAUCUCUCUUUUGAUAUUUGCGGGUCAGUUCUAUACGAAUUGAUCAAAACUAAUUUAACUAAAAAAACUGGAAUGGAUCAAAAAUUGAAAAUACACACGCGCGCGCAGAUAUAUAUAUAUAUAUAGCGCAAUUUCCCUAUAUAUAUACACACACACAUAUACAUAUAGAAAUAAAAAAAAUACAACUAAAGACAAAAAUAAAUUAUUCUUGCGCGCUCUGGUUAUCUUCCCCAAGCCCUCGGUACACUUCUCAAGUGCACCGAUAAAGGUUCAAGAGUUUGCCCCUCGUUGUAGAGACGGAGCGUGUUUUAGCAAUCGAGCAGAGUAUGAGCUUAUAGCCAUGGUGCUCCCGGCAACCCGCCUCAGGAGUACACGCAUACACCUCUUUAUCCAGUCCAUGGCCUCCUCUUUCGGUCCAUCGCCUCCGCCUCCGGUCCGUUUCCCAGCCUCACCCCCACCAAUAAAUACCCUC
rnacentral:lncRNA from 1 species